AACGAACGCUGGCGGCAUGCCUAACACAUGCAAGUCGAACGAAGGCUUCGGCCUUAGUGGCGCACGGGUGCGUAACGCGUGGGAAUCUGCCCUUAGGUUCGGAAUAACAGUUAGAAAUGACUGCUAAUACCGGAUGAUGACGUAAGUCCAAAGAUUUAUCGCCUGAGGAUGAGCCCGCGUAGGAUUAGCUAGUUGGUGUGGUAAAGGCGCACCAAGGCGACGAUCCUUAGCUGGUCUGAGAGGAUGAUCAGCCACACUGGGACUGAGACACGGCCCAGACUCCUACGGGAGGCAGCAGUGGGGAAUAUUGGACAAUGGGCGCAAGCCUGAUCCAGCAAUGCCGCGUGAGUGAUGAAGGCCUUAGGGUUGUAAAGCCCUUUUACCCGUGAUGAUAAUGACAGUAGCGGGAGAAUAAGCCCCGGCUAACUCCGUG
rnacentral:rRNA from 1 species